CCUACGGGAGGCAGCAGUGGGGAAUAUUGCACAAUGGGGGAAACCCUGCUGCAGCGACGCCGCGUGAGUGAAGAAGUAUUUCGGUACGUAAAGCUCUAUCAGCAGGGAAGAAAAUGACGGUACCUGACUAAGAAGCCCCGGCUAACUACGUGCCAGCAGCCGCGGAAAUAGGUAGGGGGCAAGGGAAUCCGGAUUUACUGGGUGUAAAGGGGGGGUAGACGGCAGCGCAAGUCUGAAGUGAAAUCCCAUGGCUUAACCAUGGAACUGCUUUGGAAACUGUGCAGCUGGAGUGCAGGAAAGGUAAGCGGAAUUCCUAGUGUAGCGGUGAAAUGCGUAGAUAUUAGGAGGAACACCAGUGGCGAAGGCGGCUUACUGGACUGUAACUGACGUUGAGGCUCGAAAGCGUGGGGAGCAAACAGGAUUAGAUACCCUUGUAGUC
rnacentral:rRNA from 1 species